UACGAAGGGUGCAAGCGUUACUCGGAAUUACUGGGCGUAAAGCGUGCGUAGGUGGUUCGUUAAGUCUGAUGUGAAAGCCCUGGGCUCAACCUGGGAAUUGCAUUGGAUACUGGCGCGCUAGAGUGAGGUAGAGGAGAGUGGAAUUCCCGGUGUAGCAGUGAAAUGCGUAGAGAUCGGGAGGAACAUCAGUUGCGAAGGCGGCUCUCUGGACCAUCACUGACACUGAGGCACGAAAGCGUGGGGAGCAAACAGG
rnacentral:rRNA from 1 species